AACACGUGGAUAAUCUACCCGACAGUCAGGGAUAACAUUUCGAAAGGAAUGCUAAUACCUGAUAAGCCUACGCCCUCUUCGGAGGAAGUAGGAAAAGGUGGGGACCUUCGGGCCUGCCGUUGUUGAAUGAGUCCGCGGCCCAUUAGCUAGUUGGUAGGGUAAUGGCCUACCAAGGCUACGAUGGGUAGCUGGUCUGAGAGGAUGAUCAGCCACACUGGAACUGAGACACGGUCCAG
rnacentral:rRNA from 1 species